ACUGUAGCAAUGGCCCAACACUUGUUCACGAGGGGAAAGCAUCAACUGGGAGAGGGGAAGGAAAAAGAAAAAGCAGAAGCCUGAAAAAAAAAAGUAAUCUACACACUGUCAUGUGUGCUUUCUGAGACGGAAGGGAAACCACAAAGAAAGGCUGGGUACUGGAAUCUGCCCUUGCCAGCAGGAUACUGCUGAAGAAAGAAAAUUGCUGACAGUGAGCCUUGGAUUGGAAGAAUGGACCAAUGUUUUUGUUACAGAGAGCCCAAUGGAGCAACUGAGACACAGAUGACAGGGCACCUGCCUGGAGAGGGAAGUUACUAAAGAAAAUCUAAGAAGAAAAACUAAGAAUCCAUAUACCAGACUGUCGUGGGUGGGUGUGGGGGUGAGGGUCCCAAUGGGGUGAUGAGUUCCAUGAAUCCAAAAGUCAAACAUGAAAACCAUAUUUUUGGCUUUGGGAAUGUAGAGCUAAUUACAUCUGUCGUGUUUUCUUGAAUCGGAAUUUAUAGUAUCACUACUUUUGUUUUGGCUCUUAUAAAUUCUCUUUUUAUAGCUGGGAUUUUUGACCUUUAAUCCUUCUGUUCUCUUCAACUUAAAACUGGCUGGUGCAGUUAAUAAUGAUUUGGAAUGGGGGCUCUGACUUCUAGGUUCAGACUCCCAGUGGGUUACCCUCUUAGGCUCUCUUGUGUCACUGAUCGUGGAUGAAUUGCCUGAAUUACCCCUGGGGAUCUUGGUGAGAUGGAGAACUUCAGAUGUCCUAUGUGUGUCAAGGUCUCUGCUGGGAUUGCUUCCUGA